rnacentral:rRNA from 1 species
UACGAAGGGGGCUAGCGUUGCUCGGAAUGACUGGGCGUAAAGGGCGCGUAGGCGGACGGCUUUGUCAGACGUGAAAUUCCAGGGCUCAACCUUGGGGCUGCGUUUGAGACGGGUUGUCUUGAGUGGGGAAGAGGGUCGUGGAAUUCCCAGUGUAGAGGUGAAAUUCGUAGAUAUUGGGAAGAACACCGGUGGCGAAGGCGGCGACCUGGUCCUUUACUGACGCUGAGGCGCGAAAGCGUGGGGAGCAAACAGG